rnacentral:hammerhead_ribozyme from 1 species
AUUCAGAUGACGAGCCCCAAACGGGAGGAAAUGCGCAUCCUGGAU